UGCUGAGAGUCUUCCCCCGUGUUUAUCACAGACUGAGAGGGAACCAUCAACCCAUUGGCUCUAAGGGAAGAGGAAGGAAGAGGAGGAGAGAGUCUCUGCAUUGCUGUUGACAGAAGUACUGAGGUUGUAUUGAAAAGAGUUUCUGGGAAAAAAUCCCUUUUAAGAUAAAAAAGUAUGGAUUAUAAAUGUAGAAUCAAAUUAUCACAGAUUUAUUAUCUAGACUAUUAAAUAAACAGUAUGCCUUUAAGUCAGAAAGAGAGAGGAGAGCUGCCUCUUUAAAUGUCAGGAAAAUAAAAUAAGUUUGUGGCUCUUCACUUUAAAAAACAUUGAAGAGAUUAAUUCUUUGUCUGGAAAAGGCAAAGAAUUCCUGUACAAUAAAAGCAGACUGCUGGAGAUUUACGUAUCUUGUCCUGGGCAAAGUCUUAUUUCUGCAUAAGUGGAGGCACUAAAAGUUUCCAAAGGUAUUGAACCUGUUGUGGAUAACCUUCUCACUGGCUUUCUGACUUCAUGGAAGGCAGAUCUGCAAGACACAGAGUCUAAUCCCAAUUUAAAUUUCUGUGGUUUCCUUUGGAUAAGUGGCUGUAACAGUUGGCCAAGGUUAGCAAGUCAAGACCACAAUGCCUCGAGACUCUUGGGAGUUAAAAUUUUUAUAUCUAAAAUUGAGGUUAGUUAUGGUGUUUUUCUUUCUUUUCUUUUUUUCUUUUUCCCAGCUGUUUUUAAGCAAGGGGUAUGCACUGACCAUCCAGUGGAUGAAACUGGGAUUGGUGAAAGUGGAAGAAACUAUUUGAUAUGACUCAAAGAAAAAAAUGCAAGGUUCUUGGGGAAAAUUCUACCAUGGCAGGAGGCCAAGAAAAACUUGUCUUAAAAACUCAUCUCUACUUUGUAUUCUAGAUUCUAACCUACCUCCCAUGAACAGCCCUUAAACAUUAAGACAAAAUAGAAAGUUGGCACUAAGCGACACAGCUGGAAUCAAAAUGUACAAGUU
rnacentral:lncRNA from 1 species